ensembl:lncRNA
GCUUGUUUAUGUAUUUACAAGAUAGAACUACAGUAUUGUAUUGACAAGGUGAUGUUGACCAGCAGCGGAUGAGUGUGGAAAUGACUUGGUUGAACAUGGACAUGUUUUUGUUUGGGUUACUGUUUUGAAAAAAUAUGUUGUAUUUAAGGCUAGAUGUCAAAUGUACUUACUACUUACAGAACACAAAAAUGAUUAUCUAUUACCUUUCAUGACUGACAAACUUUGGAACACCAGUCAUCUUUUUUGGCUUGGGGAUGCCUAAUACAGACAGAAGCAUGUCUGUUCUAUGAAAUAUAUUCUCAAAUGUAUUCUCAAAUAUUCUAUUUUCUCUGUUACUCUGUGUGCACUGAACUGACAUGUGUUACGCCCCUGAAAACAGGGGAGAAAUAAUCACGAGAGUGAUACGGUGUUGUAUUCUCAAUUCAACGUUUAGUUCAAUCAUUUCACAAAAGUAACACAUUACAAAACAACAGAACCCAUUAUACAACUAACACAGCAAAAUAUCUUAUUAACAACGUACAUGUUCAUUCACAAUCAACAUAAAAUGGCAGCUACUCUCAGUACGAUGCUAUUCUUCACUUCAACCGAGCAGGGCUAAUAUUACUCUCUUCAAACUUAACUCUAACUUCCUCGAUGUUACUAAGACACACCUUUAAACACUCUUGACAUGUUCGUGAGUUAUAACAUUUAAAUUACUAUUUUUAUCAUCAAUAAAGUACCUGAAAACAGGGGAGAAAUAAUCACGAGAGUGAUACGGUGUUGUAUUCUCAAUUCAACGUUUAGUUCAAUGAGAAAAGACAGCGAUUUUCCCCAGGAAUAUGGGUGGAGACCAGAGCAAUCGAUCUCCGGCUCAUAGAUUAAGAGCAUUUCGUAGAUGACAGAUGAACACGUUUAGGCACCACAAAAUAAAGUAAUCAAUAUUACGUUUACACAUUACUCUCACAAUUCGUACCCUUUGACAGAUUUUAACUUUAACACAAUUAUAUGAAUGUUAUCAAUCUCUAUCAACUAAUACUGAAUGCAUCUUCUUAACCUUAGAUGUUUUAAGAUCCUCACAUACUAUGAACUUACUAAUACUUUUUAAUGUAUAACAGGCUAUGAAUAUUUCCUUUAACCUGUUACACAUGCAUGAGUAUUGAUGACACUCUGAUGUUCAGAUUAAGGGAAUGAAGUAGUCUAUAAUGCGCACCACACAGUGCUCAAAUCCGACAGCGGUUUGUAGCCUAUUACAGCUGCUGGGGAAAUGUAUUCAAAGCCUAUAUUUUAUCACUCUGGAUGUAACUUUUCAGUGCUACUAUUUUUGUAAUGUUAUUAAUAAAACAAAAUCAAAC